rnacentral:lncRNA from 1 species
CUGCCAGGUCAUGAGGUUACCCAAGCAGCCCUGUGGAGGCACUCUUAUGGGAAACUAACACUAAAUUAGCAUGAAGAGCAUACGCCUGUGAUCUCAGCUAUUCGGGAUGCAGAGGCAGGAGGAUCACAUGAGCUCAGAAGCUCAAGCCCAGCCUGGGCAACGUAGAAAGACACAGACUAAAAAAGAAAAAAAGGGAAGAAAAAAAAAGACGGAAAAAAAUUAGCAUGAACAAUUCAAGGGAGACAAGAGAACUGAGCCACCUUCCUAGCCAAGAAAAACCCCAGCUUGCAAUUUACUGAAUAGAAGUGUGCCACUUGACAGAGUAGUUUUAAUGACACUGAACCUUUUGUGAGUCUUGCACUUCUCUUGGCUGAAAUCUUCAAACUGGCUCAAAGAAGCUCCAGUCUCUUCAUUCUGUAAGUGUUGAUACCAUUUGCAUAACUACCUGUCCUUAUCCCCUACCAGGUGCCUCCUUUCCAACCUUGAACGUUUCUUCUUGAUUCAUUAUAAUUAAAGAGCUAAUGUAGCCAUUCAAGUUCACAUUGUCAAUGACCAUGUAAUCAUCUUCCCUAGUGGCCAGAAUUCCUUUCUUUUUAUGAGGUUACAAUUAAAUUCCCUCCAGCCAUAAGGUCAAAAGAAUCCGGAACAGUUAGCCUUCC